rnacentral:tRNA from 1 species
AGAGAGUUAGUCCAAUAAACAAGACCAUUGAUUUCGACUCAAACAAUCACGGCUUAAAUCCGUGACUCUCUU